rnacentral:rRNA from 1 species
ACUCUCGGCAACGGAUAUCUCGGCUCUUGCAUCGAUGAAGAACGUAGCAAAAUGCGAUACUUGGUGUGAAUUGCAGAAUCCCGUGAACCAUCGAGUCUUUGAACGCAAGUUGCGCCUGAAGCCAUUAGGUUGAAGGCACGUCUGCCUGGGCGUC